GUACAGUCCCCUGGUCUGUACUGCGUCGGCGUAAUCUCUGAAUGGCUCGCGUCAUUGCACCACGACUUAUACACGGGACGACCAUAAGUAAACGCUGCUAACGUUGGCCCUUAAACUGCUUGGACAAUUAUGGGGAGUUCAGAUGUUGAAUAUGUGGAUGAUAAAAAAGAUCCUGGGGAAAUUACAGACACCGAUAGUCCCGUCGAGGAGGAGAAAAAAAUCAGUAAAAAGAAGAAGAGAAAACACAAACAUCACAAGCACAAAAAGGAUAAGUUGGGAGAUAAGGAUGAUAAAGAAAGCAAAAAGAAGCACAAAAAACACAAAAAGUCCAAAAGGAGAAUGGCAGUGGAGAAUGGAAAUGGAGCUGUUAUUGAUAAAAUUGUUACCCAAAUUGUUAACAAGGAGAAUAAUGGUAAAAUCAAUAACUCGGCAAUGGAAAUCGGAGAGACUGAAGACAGCGAAGAAGAAAAGUUAGUAGACUUAGAUUCCGACGAUGUGGAUUGUCAUAUCGUAGAGGAUGAUGAGAUGGACCUGGAGGAAUUAAUGAAACAGAAGGAACGGCUACAAGCACGUUUAGUACAAUAUUUAUCAGAUGACUCUGAGAAGAAUAUAGUUUGCAGAAGAGUGGUAAAAAGGUCAUCAUUACCAGAUGUGAUACUUGUGGAGGAUAGUGGAGAUGAAUCCCAGCCAUUAAAGAAACGUCGUCGAAGUGGUUCAACGAGUAGAGAACGAAGAAAAGUUAUUAAGACCGAUCGACGUGUUGUCGUUGACAUGAGUAGAAGUGAAAGAAGAAGUCGAGAAGAGUUGGAAAGAAGACGAGAAGAGUCCGAAAGACGACGAGAUGAAUUAGAAAGAAGACGAGAUGAGUCUGAAAGACGUCGAGAAUUGGACAAGAAACGUGAAGCAGAAAAACAGAGGAUUAAAGACGAAGCGAGGAGAGAACACGAAAGACACGCUAAGAAAGUUGCUGAAAAAGCAAAAGAUGAUGCCAGAAAGGAGGAAGCUGCUAGGAAAAAACUCGAGGAGGAGAAGCGAAGGGAUGCUUUGAAGAAGGAAGAACAGCGAAGGAGAGAACUUGAAAAGAGUCGAGAAGAAGAGCGAAGGCGCGAAGCCGAGAAGAGCAGACGUAGCAGUAGUAUUCGUCAGCACGACUCGAAGACGCAAGAAACUCGUCCUAGAGAACGUCGUGACAGUAGUCGUGAUCGACAUUUGAACCAUGAACACCGAAGCCGAGAUAGCCGCGACCGACCACGUGACAGGAGCCGAGAUCGAUUAGAUUCACGAAGAAAUCUCGAGCGAAGAAGGUCGCGAAGUCGAGGAAGGGAUCGUUUCCGAAGAUCACGAUCGCGAUCGAGAGAUCGCGGUGCUGGUGGUGGUGGUAUUGCCGGUGGUCGCGAUAGAGAUCGAGACAGAUACGGUAGAGAUCACGACAAGGAUCGUGAGAAGAAUGGCAAACGUGAAAGGAAUGACAAAUUCAAAGAUUCGCUAUCCGAAGGUUUGAAAAUUGAACGGUCCGACAGUUCGAGCGAAGAAGAUAUCAAGGACAUUGACAUCGAGGAGGACGAAGACGAGGAGGCCAUUAUCGAACGUCGUAGGAAGCAACGAGAAGAAUUACUAAAAAGACUUGGUGCACCAAAUGAGGACUCAAACUUCUCAUCUGAUAUGAAUGUGACGAGGUCGCCACUUUCUGAAGCGCAAUCGAGUACAUCGAGAGAUAAUCAGAAUGAUGAUUCCGCGUCGGAAAGUCAUACACCACCUCUGUCCGAGAGAAGAAGAAAAUCUAAAGAAGAGAAAGAGGAUAUUAAAGUUAAUGAAAAGAAGGAUGAGAAACAAAAUAUAAAAUUGAAAUCUGGCGAAAAGUGGGAUAUGUUUGCCGAAGCCGACCAUGAUAAUUUCAAUAGCCCUACAGUUGAUGGUGGCAAACGUAUAGGUGGACCAGACAAUCCAAGUUUGACGGAUAAUUGGGAUGAUGCUGAAGGUUAUUACAGAGUUCGUGUUGGUGAGACUUUAGAUUCACGAUAUACUGUAUAUGGUUAUACCGGCCAAGGUGUUUUCAGUAAUGUUGUUAGGGCAAGAGACAGUGCUAGAGGCAAUAUGGAGGUUGCUGUUAAAAUUAUUAGAAAUAAUGAAAUUAUGCAUAGAACUGGGCUUAAAGAGUUGGAGGUCCUUAGAAAGCUCAAUGAUCAAGAUCCAGAAGAUAGAUUUCAUUGUUUACGAUUGUUCAGACAUUUCUUUCACAGAAAUCACUUGUGUAUGGUGUUUGAAUCUUUAGCCAUGAAUUUGAGAGAGGUAUUAAAAAAGUAUGGAAAGGAUGUAGGCUUACAUGUCAAAGCCGUUAGAUCAUACACGCAACAAUUGUUUUUAGCAUUGAAGCUACUCAAGAAGACAAAUAUUUUACACGCCGAUAUAAAACCAGACAAUAUUCUAGUCAGUGAGAGCAAAUUAGUAUUGAAACUUUGUGAUUUCGGUUCUGCAUCCUACGCUCAUGAGAAUGAGAUCACUCCAUACCUAGUAUCGAGAUUCUAUCGAGCACCUGAAGUCAUUCUCGGUAUACCUUAUGAUUUUGGCAUUGACAUGUGGUCUGUUGGUUGCACAAUUUACGAACUUUACACUGGUAAAAUUAUGUUUUCUGGGAAAACAAACAAUCAAAUGCUGAAGUUCUUUAUGGACUUGAAAGGCAAGAUGCCAAAUAAACUCAUCAGAAAGGGACAAUUCAAAGAUCAACACUUCGAUUCUAACUGCAAUUUUUUGUAUCACGAGGUCGAUAGAGUUACUGAGAGGGAAAAAAUUGUAUCAAUGUCAACAUUGCCAGCUACACGCGACCUCGCAGUGGAACUGGGAGGCAACACAUUGCCACCAGAGCAGGCGCGCAAAGUCGGCCAGCUGAAGGACUUACUAGAGCGUACGCUUAUGUUGGACGCUGGCAAGAGGAUAACGGUGAACCAUGCAUUGGCUCAUCCCUUCAUACAAGAGAAGAUCUAGAUCGGUCAUCACGACUAUGAAUCAUUGGUUAAAUCACAACCGGACCUUUUUUGCGAGGCCAUUGCUGUUCCCGUUGCAAGCCCUCCCUGAGCGGAGGGAAGACAAUGGCACAAUGAGAGAAAGAGAGAGAGAGAGAGAGAAAGAGAAAGAAAUGCCAUGAGAGAUGACAGGAAUCGAUUCAAAUUUAAAUGACACUACUGUCAAUCGGCAAAAAAAGUCAAAUGUUCGCCAAAAUACAUAUUUCGUAAGUAUAUUGCGGAGAACAGGUAAGGUGUCUUGAAUAAUUACAGCUACACCGAACUUCUUGAUAAUUGCAUUAAGGAAUCGUCUUUUUCAGGCGUCGAUCGAUAGGCUUACUUUUAAAUUAGUACGUUUCAUAUAUUCAGCUAAUGAAACUCGAGUUAAAGUCUUUUUUUUUUUGUAAAACUUUUUAUUGUCAUUUGGGUUGAAGCGAGUGGACGAAAGGUAAACUGUAAUUUUUUUUUCCAUAAAUAAACGAAGAC